UGAAGAGCUUGCUCAGAUAUGACGUAUGGACAUUGCAAAGAGUGGGGAACGGGUGAGUAACACGUGGGAAACCUACCUCUUAGCAGGGGAUAACACUUGGAAACAAGUGCUAAUACCGCAUUACACUAAUAACCGCAUGGUUAUUAGUUAAAAGAUGGUCUUGCUAUCACUAAGAGAUGGUCCCGCGGUGUAUUAGCUAGUUGGUAAGGUAAUGGCUUACCAAGGCAAUGAUACAUAGCCGAGUUGAGAGACUGAUCGGCCACAAUGGGACUGAGACACGGCCCAUACUCCUACGGGAGGCAGCAGUAGGGAAUCUUCCACAAUGGACGAAAGUCUGAUGGAGCAACGCCGCGUGUGUGAUGAAGGGUUUCGGCUCGUAAAACACUGUUGUAAGAGAAGAAUGACAUUGAGAGUAACUGUUCAGUGUGUGACGGUAUCUUACCAGAAAGGAACGGCUAAAUACGUGCCAGCAGCCGCGGUAAUACGUAUGUUCCAAGCGUUAUCCGGAUUUAUUGGGCGUAAAGCGAGCGCAGAC
rnacentral:rRNA from 1 species